AACGGCAGCACAGGAGAGCUUGCUCUCUGGGUGGCGAGUGGCGGACGGUUGAGGAAUACAUCGGAAUCUACUUUUUCGUGGGGGAUAACGUAGGGAAACUUACGCUAAUACCGCAUACGACCUACGGGUGAAAGCAGGGGACCUUCGGGCCUUGCGCGAUUGAAUGAGCCGAUGUCGGAUUAGCUAGUUGGCGGGGUAAAGGCCCACCAAGGCGACGAUCCGUAGCUGGUCUGAGAGGAUGAUCAGCCACACUGGAACUGAGACACGGUCCAGACUCCUACGGGAGGCAGCAGUGGGGAAUAUUGGACAAUGGGCGCAAGCCUGAUCCAGCCAUACCGCGUGGGUGAAGAAGGCCUUCGGGUUGUAAAGCCCUUUUGUUGGGAAAGAAAUCCAGCUGGCUAAUACCCGGUUGGGAUGACGGUACCCAAAGAAUAAGCACCGGCUAACUUCGUGCCAGCAGCCGCGGUAAUACGAAGGGUGCAAGCGUUACUCGGAAUUACUGGGCGUAAAGCGUGCGUAGGUGGUCGUUUAAGUCCGUUGUGAAAGCCCUGGGCUCAACCUGGGAACUGCAGUGGAUACUGGGCGACUAGAGUGUGGUAGAGGGUAGCGGAAUUCCUGGU
rnacentral:rRNA from 1 species